ACCCCUCGCCGGCGACCUCACCCAGAAAAUCCGGUCACCAGAACGUCGACUAGUGAGUCUCAUGCAUCGGUACAUGUUCUUGCCGCCGUCCGGCUCGCCGGAGUGGAGGUGCGUCCACCGUCCUCUGCCGCUCCAAUUACGCUUGCCGGCGUCGCCUUGAGUGUAUACUGCAUCCCUGUUUGCUGUUUUGUCAUAGGGUGCUCUUGUGGAGGUGAUUUGUC
rnacentral:misc_RNA from 1 species